AACAUACUCCCUCCGUCUCAAAAUUCUUGUCUUAUAUUUGUCUAAAUACGGAUGUAUCUAGUUACGUUUCAGUGUUAGAUAUAUCCGUAUCUAGACAAAUCUAAGACAAGAAUUUUGGGACGGAGGGAGUAGAAU
rfam:Triticum urartu cultivar G1812 contig88673, whole genome shotgun sequence.